rnacentral:rRNA from 1 species
UUGGUGGGGUAGUGGCCUACCAAGGCGACGACGGGUAGCCGGCCUGAGAGGGUGACCGGCCACACUGGGACUGAGACACGGCCCAGACUCCUACGGGAGGCAGCAGUGGGGAAUAUUGCGCAAUGGGCGGAAGCCUGACGCAGCGACGCCGCGUGGGGGAUGACGGCCUUCGGGUUGUAAACCUCUUUCAGCAGGGACGAAGCGAAAGUGACGGUACCUGCAGAAGAAGCACCGGCCAACUACGUGCCAGCAGCCGCGGUAAUACGUAGGGUGCAAGCGUUGUCCGGAAUUAUUGGGCGUAAAGAGCUCGUAGGCGGUCUGUCGCGUCGGCUGUGAAAUCCCGAGGCUCAACCUCGGGUCUGCAGUCGAUACGGGCAAACUGGAGUACUGCAGGGGAGACUGGAAUUCCUGGUGUAGCGGUGAAAUGCGCAGAUAUCAGGAGGAACACCGGUGGCGAAGGCGGGUCUCUGGGCAGUAACUGACGCUGAGGAGCGAAAGCGUGGGGAGCGAACAGGAUUAGAUACCCUGGUAGUCCACGCCGUAAACGUUGGGCGCUAGGUGUGGGGCUCAUUCCACGAGUUCCGUGCCGCAGCUAACGCAUUAAGCGCCCCGCCUGGGGAGUACGG